AGAGUUUGAUCCUGGCUCAGGACGAACGCUGGCGGCGUGCUUAACACAUGCAAGUCGAACGGUAAGGCCCUUCGGGGUACACGAGUGGCGAACGGGUGAGUAACACGUGGGUAAUCUGCCCUGCACAUCGGGAUAAGCCUGGGAAACUGGGUCUAAUACCGAAUAGGACCGCGCGCUUCAUGGUGUGUGGUGGAAAGCUUUUGCGGUGUGGGAUGGGCCCGCGGCCUAUCAGCUUGUUGGUGGGGUAAUGGCCUACCAAGGCGACGACGGGUAGCCGGCCUGAGAGGGUGACCGGCCACACUGGGACUGAGAUACGGCCCAGACUCCUACGGGAGGCAGCAGUGGGGAAUAUUGCACAAUGGGCGCAAGCCUGAUGCAGCGACGCCGCGUGAGGGAUGACGGCCUUCGGGUUGUAAACCUCUUUCACCAGGGACGAAGCGCAAGUGACGGUACCUGGAGAAGAAGCACCGGCCAACUACGUGCCAGCAGCCGCGGUAAUACGUAGGGUGCGAGCGUUGUCCGGAAUUACUGGGCGUAAAGAGCUCGUAGGUGGUUUGUCGCGUUGUUCGUGAAAACUCACAGCUUAACUGUGGGCGUGCGGGCGAUACGGGCAGACUAGAGUACUGCAGGGGAGACUGGAAUUCCUGGUGUAGCGGUGGAAUGCGCAGAUAUCAGGAGGAACACCGGUGGCGAAGGCGGGUCUCUGGGCAGUAACUGACGCUGAGGAGCGAAAGCGUGGGGAGCGAACAGGAUUAGAUACCCUGGUAGUCC
rnacentral:rRNA from 1 species